GUGCCAGCAGCCGCGGUAAUACGAAGGUCCCGAGCGUUGUUCGGAAUCACUGGGCGUAAAGGGAGCGUAGGCGGCGUGGUAAGUCAGAUGUGAAAUCCCGGGGCUCAACCCCGGAACUGCAUCCGAUACUGCCGUGCUAGAGGAUUGGAGAGGUAGCUGGAAUUCUUGGUGUAGCAGUGAAAUGCGUGGAUAUCAAGAGGAACACUCGUGGCGAAAGCGAGCUACUGGACAACUCCUGACGCUGAGGCUCGAAGGCCAGGGUAGCGAAAGGGAUUAGAUACCCGCGUAGUCC
rnacentral:rRNA from 1 species